AAACUCCUGACACUUAAUAGUUGCGACACAACAAAUGUUUGUCAUGUUUGGCCACUAAGUGAUUAGUGUAUUUUGCGAUGCAUCAAUAGUGAAUACAAACUAACUUUCAUUGUUAUCAUUUUUUAAGCAGUCAAUCAUCUUUUAAAGAGAUUAUAAAUUUCAUAUUUAACUACAUAUUUUCCAUUUUUCCAAUGCUCUCAUUCCUUUUUGUUUGUGAAAAUUUCUAUCUAGUAUUAUUUUUCUUCUACUUGAAGAACCCUGGUGAUUUCUUGUAUCCGCUGGCAAAGAAACUGUGCUAGGAUUGGGGCAAAACACAUUAUUAUACAGAGAAUUAUAAUUGGGAUAAGGAAAGGGAGCAUCUGUUGAGCCACGGUUGAAAACCACCAAGAAGGACCAGGGUGGAGGGUCGUAGGAGUGUUUUAACUCCUCUUGGAGCUUUUUUUUUUUUUUAAAGUUUGUAAACUGUUCUCAACUACCCCUGACUCAUUGAGAUAAUAGCAGCAUUCUUCCUGUAAGAAUAAACAUGUCCUUCCUUUUUCUGCCAUAAGCAAGUCUAAGGCCUGCCUGUUCUGUGCUGCGACCUGUGCUACUGUAGUGAUCUGUCGCUGUAGGGAGUCCAGGGACUCGGCCGAUGCCUCAAUGGCCAACUGCAGAGAAAAAGCCUGGUUGGUUAUCAUUUCCUUCCAACUAUCCUUCACACUUCACUGCACCCAUGAGUAAAAUUUGUGUAAUGAAUGCACUGGGUCUGAGCAAUAUUGAUGCCACUGUGUACAAGAAAUAAUCAAGAAGUUAACAAAGCAACGAUGGCGUCUUUGGUAAGUACAGUGCUUAACUUCAGAAAUAAAAGUUGAAAUACCAUGACAUCAAACGUUCCCAGCAAAAGCACUCAGAAAAAUGAGAGCAUAAAGUUUCAAGGAAUGGAAGAAGACUGUUUUCCCUCUUAUGAGACACAGUCUGUUAAGAAAGGGAGAUUGUGAGUGCCUUCGUUUCAACUUCUUGGCCCCUCCCUUGGGGCUUGGGAUCUCCCAGGUCAAAUGGUCAGCCUGCAGGUAGGCCAGCUCUGUUCUGCGACCCUGGCUUCAAUUCAAGGAGCAAAGAAGUUGUCACUUCUUUUUGUUUCAAUCUCAGUCCCAAGCUUUGUUCUCCACACUACUUUGCCAUCAAAACAGCUGUUAUCCUAUUUCCAAUUUGACUCCGUUGUUUGUAUUUAUACUUCAGCAGUCAGAGAUCUAAAGGGGAGAAGAGAAUGAGGUAGGUAAAUGGUAGGAUGUGGGAUCCAAAGAUAGCCUAUCUUCAACAUCCUGCAAUAUUAAAACUGGAAGAAGUGAAGCCUCCUUAUGUGAUGAGAAAAAUGCAGAUCAGCUGGGCGCAGCAAAGCACGCUCGGUCACACAGCAUGCCAGGGCCAGAGACACAAGUAGACGUCCGCACGACAGCACAGAGAGGGCAUUGCCACAGACACACUUCAGCCUAAUGAGAGGAGUCCAGGAUGAUGAACUCUUCAAUCUGGAUGAUGUACUUCUAUGGGCAACAUGUAAGAACAGAUCAGCUUUUGUGGUUGUUGAUUAACAUCGAGCUUAAUGCCGAACACAUUUAACUUGUCUAUGUCAUGCCUUCAAAGUCCUCAGAGACAUACACCAUCAACCUGAACAUUGAUUCUUAAUGUGAUGAAUUCUUUCCAUGAUAUAAUAAUAAUAAUAAUAGAACAGUAGUAAAGACUGAUACUUAUUCUUUGCUUUGUGCUAGACAUUUUACACAUCAUGCUUUAUAUGUAUUAACUCAUUUUAAUCUUCACAAAAGUGUUUUGAGUUACCUACUAUUAUUUUCUCUAAUUUACAGAUGAGGAAAUUGAAGGCAAGUAAGGUAAAUCAUGUGUUCAAGGUCACACAACCAGUAGGGAGUAAUGUCAAGCUUAACCAAGGGAAUUAGGCCAGGCACGGUGGCUCA
rnacentral:lncRNA from 1 species